rnacentral:rRNA from 1 species
GUCCACGCUGUAAACGAUGGGCACUAGGUGUCGCGGGUAUUGACCCCUGCGGUGCCGCAGCUAACGCAUUAAGUGCCCCGCCUGGGGACUACGGCCGCAAGGUUAAACUCAAAGGAAUUGACGGGGCCCGCACAAGCGGUGGAGCAUGUGGUUCAAUUCGACGCAACGCGAAGAACCUUACCCGGGCUAGACAACAGAGGACACCCUUAGAAAUAAGGUCUUCCCUUCGGGGACCCCUGGUUCAGGUGCUGCAUGGCUGUCGU